CUCAAGUGCCUCUGUCGACUGAACACUCCUCAACCUCAGCUCUUCAAUAUGAAGGUGAUUGGCGCAAUGCUGUUGCUUCUGGUGGCUCUGUUUGCCAUCUUGGGAUCCUCUGAGGCCAUGCCAGAGCCUGAAGCCGAUCCUGGCUUUAUCCAUCAUGGAUACCCAAUCAUUAAGCACAUUUACUAUAAACCUAUCAAAAGCUAUGGGUAUGGCCUGGGAGGCUACUGGUAGUAAAUGUUAACCUUAAUGAUGAAAUCGUUCCAGUCUCCAGAAUUCGUCUCAGACAAAUUUGAUUUGAAAAAUGACUUACAUGCGAUUGCUUGGUGACGUAAGUCAAUGCCCCCUGGAUGGAGUAUUUGUAACGAUGUAAUAAAAUGAGUUAAAUGUCAAA